AGCUCCAAUAGCGUAUAUUAAAGUUGUUGCAGUUAAAACGCUCGUAGUCGGAUUUCGGGGCGUGCGAGCCGGUCUGCCGAUGGGUAUGCACUGGCGUCGCGCGUCCUUUCUUUCGGAGCUCUCCGCUGCUCUUAGCUGAGCGGUGGAGGGAGACGGAUCGUUUACUUUGAAAAAAUCAGAGUGUUUCAAGCAGGCAGCUCGCUCUUGCAUGGAUUAGCAUGGGAUAAUGAAAUAGGACUCUGGUGCUAUUUUGUUGGUUUCGAACACCGGAGUAAUGGUCAACAGGGACAGUCAGGGGCACUCGUAUUCCGCCGAGAGAGGUGAAAUUCUCAGACCAGCGGAAGACGAACCACUGCGAAAGCAUUUGCCAGGGAUGUUU
rnacentral:rRNA from 1 species